rnacentral:rRNA from 1 species
AUUGAACGCUGGCGGCAGGCCUAACACAUGCAAGUCGAGCGAGCGGCGGACGGGUGAGUAAGGUAUGGGGAUCUGCCCGAUAGAGGGGGAUAACUACUGGAAACGGUGGCUAAUACCGCACACUAUCGGAUGAAUCCAUAUGGGAUUAGCUAGGAGGGGGGGUAAAGGCCUACCUAGGCGACGAUCUCUAGCUGGUCUGAGAGGAUGAUCAGUCACACUGGGACUGAGACACGGCCCAGACUCCUACGGGAGGCAGCAGUGGGGAAUAUUGGACAAUGGGCGCAAGCCUGAUGCAGCCAUGCCGCGUGUGUGAAGAAGGCCUUCGGAUUGUAAAGCACUUUCAGCUAGGAGGCGUUACUCGCAGAAGAAGCACCGGCUAACUCCGUGCCAGCCGCCGCGGUAAUUC